CCCGUUGUCAUCGGGGAGUAGCCAUCCUUCCCCCAGGAGUUUGCGUCAACACACUUGGUGGUCCCGGACCCCAUGGCGCAAACGGCCUUUCGUGACGGCC
rnacentral:sRNA from 2 species